rnacentral:rRNA from 1 species
CCUAACACAUGCAAGUCGAACGAGGAAGAUAGAUCUUGCUUUCUUGAGCGAGUGGAGAACGGGUGAGUAACGCGUGAGGAACCUGCCUCACAGAGGGGGACAACAGAUGCAAACGACUGCUAAUACCGCAUAACCCCACGGGUCGACAUCGACCAUAGGGAAAAUGAGCAAUCCGCUUUGAGAUGGCCUCGCGUCCGAUUAUCUAGUUGGUGAGGUACCGCCCCACCAACGCAACGAUCGGGAACCGGACUGAGAGGUUGAACAGCCACAUUGGGACUGAGACACGGCCCCACACUCCUACGGGAGGCAGCAGUGGGGAAUAUUGCGCGAUGGGGGAAACCCUGAUGCAGCGACGCCGCGUGGAGGAAGAAGGUCCUCCGAUUGUCAACUCCUGCUGAUGACGACCAUACUGACCGUACUCAACACGGAAGUGACGGCUAACCACCCGCCAACACCCGCGUUAAACCGGAGGUCACAACCGUUCUCCGGAAUUACUGGGCGUAAAGGGAGCGCACGCGGCAAGACCACUUCCAACCGAAAUCCAUGGGCUCAACCCCAUGAACUGCUUUCAAAAACUGUUUUUCUUGAGUAGUGCAGAGGUAGGCGGAAUUCCCGGUGUAGCGGUGGAAUGCGUAGAUAUCGGGAGGAACACCAGUGGCGAAGGCGGCCUACUGGGCACCAACUGACGCUGAGGCUCGAAAGUGUGGGUAGCAAACAGGAUUAGAUACCCUGGUAGUCCACACCGUAAACGAUGAUUACUAGGUGUUGGAGGAUUGACCCCUUCAGUGCCGCAGUUAACACAAUAAGUAAUCCACCUGGGGAGUACGACCGCAAGGUUGAAACUCAAAGGAAUUGACGGGGGCCCGCACAAGCAGUGGAGUAUGUGGUUUAAUUCGACGCAACGCGAAGAACCUUACCAAGUCUUGACAUCCUGCGACGAUGCUGGAAACAGUAUUUUCCUUCGGGACGCAGAGACAGGUGGUGCAUGGUUGUCGUCAGCUCGUGUCGUGAGAUGUUGGGUUAAGUCCCGCAACGAGCGCAACCCUUAUGGUCAGUUACUACGCAAGAGGACUCUGGCCAGACUGCCGUUGACAAAACGGAGGAAGGUGGGGAUGACGUCAAAUCAUCAUGCCCUUUAUGACUUGGGCUACACACGUACUACAAUGGCGUUAAACAAAGAGAAGCAAGACCGCGAGGUGGAGCAAAACUCAGAAACAACGUCCCAGUUCGGACUGCAGGCUGCAACUCGCCUGCACGAAGUCGGAAUUGCUAGUAAUCGUGGAUCAGCAUGCCACGGUGAAUACGUUCCCGGGCCUUGUACACACCGCCCGUCACACCAUGAGAGCCGGGGGGACCCGAAGUCGGUAGUCUAACCGCAAGGAGGACGCCGCCGAAGGUAAAACUGGUGAUUGG